GACGGUCACUAAACACCACACGUUAUUGUCAAUGAUGACAGUAAGGACGAACGUGAACAACCUUUAGAGAUUCUGAUCGUGUGGAAAGUUCUUACAGGUUUUAUGUUAAUUUUUUUGAGUUAUUGUUCGUAAUUAAAUCAGGCGUAAUUAAAUUGACUGCUCCUCACGAAACCAAUAAACAAUUAUUACAGUUUAAUUCACUGAGUACUAACUAACAAAUCGCAAACUUUUGUUUUUCACCGGUGAUCUCAAGGACUUUUUGAAAUACUUUUUACGUUAAAGUUAAGUGCAAUGGUAAAGUUGCUGGAUUGCUAGAUUAAUGCCUUGAAUAGUUUGAUGUAAUGAAUGUUAUCUUGAUUUUACUUUGUUUUUGGUCCUCCCUUUCUCAAUCUAAGAUGUUACUUCUUACGUUCUGAUUCUUUUGUAACGCUUUCAUUCUUAGCAACUAACUCCGAAGUAAAUCAAAGCCUAGGUGCUUAAAUGAUUUUACGAAAUCGCACAUUUUAACGCUGUUUAACAACCACCCGACGAUGUGUCAAGUCACGAAGUAGUACAGUGUCGUUUCCCAUGAGACAAAAAAUGAGUAAUAUCUUUUUAAAAAUAGGUUUUUAGAUUGUUAUUAAAUUCCGUUUCGGUUUCGAUGAAUCCAUCAUCACCGACCGAAUUCUUAUCGAUACGAGCUUUUAUGGUAGCAGUUUGCCAUUUACCUUUUGUUUUUUUACGUUAUUUUCAAUGCAGCUCAUGUUCAUGUCUAGCUUUGACGUUAUCAAAUCGGUAUGCCACACGCCACCAGGAUUCGUUGAAAGAUGAUUGCCGUCGCUGAUCACUUGAGGAGAUGGAAAAUCGGUUCACUUUCAUGCACUUCAGUAGAUACAUUUCUAAUAUUUACCCCACAUUUUAAACAUAAUUUAGAUCUAUCCACUAUAGGGAUAUCCUCAUCGCGAGUUGGUCUGGAACUCCUUUGGAUAAUACUUCAUGCUCUUCUCUCAAUUCGUACGUAUCACAAAACAAGCAAUAAAAAAAAGAUCCGUGUUUGAUGUAAGGAAAGUUAGCGCAAUGGUAUUUGCUAUGUCGUUUGGUCACACGAUCAGUCAAUUGUGGAGGUUUCGGCUUCUUUCAGGAUUCAGGAAAACAGACGGAAACAGAGCCGACACAUCGACCCGUCCCUUAAACGGAAUAAUUUUUUUUCACGCCUGGGAAAUCACAGAUCGUCCUGGCCGAAGGCGAAUUCCCAUGAUUCCGGAUGUCAGGGGAACGUAUGAAAGGAACAAGAAAAGUGAGUCAUUCCCAUGGCCAUCGGCGAAGCCAAGGACGACGUGUGCUUUUAAAAAUCGUACCCGGUCCGGUAAUCGAAAAAGUCCCAUUGUAUAACACGUUUUCAGCUCUUAUACCCGACACGAUUUAAAGGAAAAUGAAAACGAUAGCAGGUGCGUCGGCCAGAAAGCCAUUGUUUCCUCCACGGUUGGCGGAUCAUCCAAAACCAUUUACGAUUGAUCUUCCAUGAUCAAUCCAUUCUCCUUCUUUUCGCCAUGACAGACAAAAUGGAGAGAUUACGAGAGGCAACAACAGGACAGUCACCAAAGAUGGGAGUUUGAUCUAUCUUCCUACUGUUCAGAAUUACCUAUGUAUAUUGUACAACUAUGACUUGUCAUAAAUUAAUUCUCAAAACCAGUUAAUGUAAAUUAAACUCUGGUUUAAUUUUUUU
rnacentral:lncRNA from 1 species